rnacentral:lncRNA from 11 species
AUAUAUAUAUAGCUAUAUAGAGAUUUCCUUGUACUUGUAUAUCUGACCAUUAUAGAUCAGGGCCUUUCUGUCUUGCAUGGUAGCGAAAUAGCAGUAGAUUGAACCACCGCUCCUAUGCUCUUUGGAGCUGAGUCACCAAGGACCAGCAAUUGCGCAUGUGUAGACUUGCUUUGGCUGGUUCUUCCUUCAGUUUGUGACAGUAAACUUGAACCCUGCUGCAUCCCCAUUUGUUCAUCCUUGGACCCAUUGCCUUGGGAGGAAGAUGAUGAAGCAACUGCACUUUGCUCACUGUUUUGCAAGAGCGGACAGGUUCUUGGAAGAUGGAUAAUUUCCUGAAUCGAUUCCGAAUUGGAAUGCCAGUGGCUUCAACCCAGUUUAUCACUAAGGAUUACCAAGACUAGCAGCAGUGAAAAUGAUAUUCCCCCUUCGGCUUGUAUUUUUUCCCUUUGUAGCACAAGAAUGAAUCAUCCAUCCAUGAUCAGAACCAGGCCAUUGAUCUAUCAUAUAUUUUCCAGUUCUGAUGGCUUUGCAAAGAUGCAGUUUAGUCCUAUAAUCCUUUCUUCCAGCUAGCCAUUCAUUUUGAUAUGAAGAGGAGAACUCAAUGCCUUCUUCUAUGGACUGCGGGGCAUCUAUGAACAAAUAAAUUGGAUUCUUUUCCUAUUUGUUUGUAUGCAAUGACAGUAACAUAUUAUUACACAUUUGCAACCAUCUGAUUAUUAUCAUAACACAGGUAUUUCCAGCCCUUUCCAGCUACCGUUUCUGGGGAAAAGAUCCUCUCUGGAAAUGUAACUGUGCAAAUUUCCCACUAAGCCAAUUUGUGUGACUUGUGUUAGAAAAAAAAAAACUCAGAAAUUGAAGCUGUGCCUCUCAGAGAAGCUAAUCCAUCUGUUCCUCUUUUAGUUAAACAGUGCUAAUCAGUCUUGUUAACACUGAUUCUGUGGUCAAAGAGGCAUUAAUAAAGAAUCCUCUUAUGUGGUCCUUGAAAUAUCAUGGCAGUGGAAGAAAGUUGUCGUUCUCUAUUGGAUGCAAGUCUUUCCAGGCAUUUGCAUGCAUACAGUUCUGACCUGGUUUGAAGAGCUUCUUCAUACAUUUUACCUCAUUUACAAAAAUUUACAAAAUUGCUCUUGCUUUGAAAGUACUGACCAGACGUAUAUCCAAGAAGUAAAGUCACUUCUUGCUUUGGUAUGCCAAUAAGUUACUCAUUUUGGUUUGUUUCUAAUGCUUCUCUGCAGGAUAACAUUUCUAACCCAAGCCUAUUGUAGCACUUUCUAGUUGUGGUUGAUCCUCUUAACAUAAAUGCCUACUUCACAUUGAUGCCGUCACAAUAAAAACAGAGCAGCGCUUCACUUUGGUUCUGUCUGCUUUUUCUGAUUUUUCUCCAUUCCUGCUUCUGCCUAAUGGCU